CACAGAGUGUAGGUUGGAGAAUUGGGUGACUAAUUCACUAGUCUAGUUGCGUAAUCCUUAGACUGUUGCCAAAAUUCUGAACCCUAGGGGUUAAAUAUGAACUGUGGAAAACAUUCCAUACGGUUUUCCACCAUCAACAUUUCACUUUUGCUUCAAAUCAUCAACAAAACUGUAAUCUAGCACAAUAAAUACUUAGCAUUUAAGAAAUCAUACUGUUACAAGGCCGAGCCCAACAAAUUCAUUUUUGACUAGCAAUCAUAGUAGAAUUGCUAUUACAUUAUUUAAACUAACUUCAACAAGUUACAGGAAUAACACUUGUUUUGCAACAAGUGUACUUUUCAGCAGCACAUCUGCUGAUUACAGUGGAAACUCAGUUAUUACAAACACUAAAUUUGUGAAAGAUUCAAAGAAACAAGACAAAUUCUCUUGCGCCCACCCCCACC